rnacentral:rRNA from 1 species
GAUGAACGCUGGCGGCGUGCCUAAUACAUGCAAGUCGAGCGAACGGACGAGAAGCUUGCUUCUCUGACGUUAGCGGCGGACGGGUGAGUAACACGUGGAUAACCUACCUGUAAGACUGGGAUAACUUCGGGAAACCGUAGCUAAUACCGGAUAAUAUUUUGAACCGCAUGGUUCAAAAGUGAAAGACGGUCUUGCUGGCACUUAUAGAUGGAUCCGCGCUGCAUUAGCUAGUUGGUAAGGUAACGGCUUACCAAGGCAACGAUGCAUAGCCGACCUGAGAGGGUGAUCGGCCACACUGGAACUGAGACACGGUCCAGACUCCUACGGGAGGCAGCAGUAGGGAAUCUUCCGCAAUGGGCGAAAGCCUGACGGAGCAACGCCGCGUGAGUGAUGAAGGUCUUCGGAUCGUAAAACUCUGUUAUUAGGGAAGAACAUAUGUGUAAGUAACUGUGCACAGCUUGACGGUACCUAAUCAGAAAGCCACGGCUAACUACGUG